rnacentral:rRNA from 1 species
AUUGAACGCUGGCGGCAGGCUUAACACAUGCAAGUCGAACGAGUGGCGGACGGGAGAGUAAUGCUUGGGAAUCUGGCUUAUGGAGGGGGAUAACGACGGGAAACUGUCGCUAAUACCGCGUAGCAUAGCAUUAGCCCAAGUGGGAUUAGGUAGUUGGUGGGGUACAGGCCUACCAAGCUGCCGAGCUCUAGUUGGUCGGAGAGGAUGACCAGCCACACCUGGACUGAGAGACGGCCCGGACUCCUACGGAAGGCAGCAGUGGGGAAUAUUGCGCAAUGGGGGCAACCCUGACGCAGCCAAGCCGCGUGAGUGAGGAAGGCCUUCGGGUUGUAAAGUUCUUUUGGUAUUGAGGCGUUAAGUACAGAAGAAGCACCGGCUAACUACGUGCCAGCAGCCGCGGUAAUUC